rnacentral:rRNA from 1 species
UGGCUCAGGACGAACGCUGGCGGCGUGCCUAACACAUGCAAGUCGAGCGAGGAGAUCCUCGGGAUGAUCCUAGCGGCGGACGGGUGAGUAACACGUGGGCAACCUGCCUCAUAGAGAGGAAUAGCCUUCCGAAAGGGAGAUUAAUACCUCAUAACAUUGCAGUUUCGCAUGGAACAGCAAUUAAAGGAGUAAUCCGCUAUGAGAUGGGCCCGCGGCGCAUUAGCUAGUUGGUGAGGUAAUGGCUCACCAAGGCGACGAUGCGUAGCCGACCUGAGAGGGUGAUCGGCCACAUUGGGACUGAGACACGGCCCAGACUCCUACGGGAGGCAGCAGUGGGGAAUAUUGCACAAUGGGGGAAACCCUGAUGCAAGCAACGCCGCGUGAGUGAUGACGGCCUUCGGGUUGUAAAGCUCUGUCUUCAGGGACGAUAAUGACGGUACCUGAGGAGGAAGCCGCGGCUAACUACGUGCCAGCAGCGGC